UACGUAGGUGGCAAGCGUUGUCCGGAUUUACUGGGCGUAAAGAGCGCGCAGGCGGUCGGAUAAGUCGAAUGUGAAAGCCCCGGCUCAACUGGGAGGGUCAUUCGAUACUGUUCGACUCGAAGGCAGGAGAGGGAAGUGGAAUUCCCGGUGUAGCGGUGGAAUGCGUAGAGAUCGGGAAGAACAUCAGUGGCGAAGGCGGUCUGCUGGGCCGUUGCUGACGCUGAGGCGCGACAGCGUGGGGAGCAAACAGG
rnacentral:rRNA from 1 species